UAGUAAGGAAUCCAGUUAUCUUUCUUAUAGAUAUAGGAAGAAUUCAUUCUAUGCUUUUAAGCGGGAAGUAGUAGGCAGGUAAUUCUAUGCUUUUAAGCGGGAAGUAGUAGGCAGGUAGGCAAUAGCAGUUAGAGUGGAGUCUACAGGUUAGGAAUCAAGAUCUUCAGCAUCAAUUAGUUAUUAAAGUAGAGCAAGAGGCGAGGCAAGAUAGCACAUAUUUCUCCUUAAAUGGAAAACCCUGGCUUUGAUACAGAAGCUUUAGUGUUAGAAGUCUCUUCAUCCGGAGAAGGGGAAUCUAAAGGAUUGCAACUACCGGGUGGGGGGUGCUCUAAAGAGAAAUAAUGAAUGCAGUCAACCACUGAGGAAUAGAAUUGGAAGACAUGGGCGCUGCGCCUUUACCCUUAAACAAAUAGUGGAGCUAUACUAAUUAGUAGACAAAAGCAGACAAGCAUAAUGUAGUUGUGCUAAAGUUGUGACAAGUCCUGUUGUUGCCCCCUAGGCUCAUUCUGAUGUUUCUUAUCUGUCAACAACAAAACACUGCCGCUUUAACAUUAGUAGGUAGAGAAGUUAUUGACUUUCCCGAGUCGGUAGAUAGAGGUGAUUUUACGAAACCCUGGGAAUUAUUGAACUGAACAGAUUGAUUGUCCAACUCUAGCUCGUAGGUGUGAGUGUUCCCUUGCGCGUACCCAGUUGAUUACUUUGAUCUAUCUAUACCUUAUAGCAGCUUCAUAUCCUUAAAUGAAUUCUCCUAUUUUGAUUCUAUUGUAGAUGAGACUCGAACUUAAUUGAAUUGCCUGGCCUUGCCUUCUACACAAGGAGCUGAAAGCCACUGCAUUCUCUUCAACAACUACUUUCUCUUUCGAGCAAGCAUCACUCUGUCAAACUCAUAACUUAUAUUUCCAGAACUCCUUAUUACGCGAGAUCACCUUUUUCAUUUCACUGCAAGACCUCUUAUUAUGAUUCUCAUACCGCAACAAAACAACUCCUUUCUUUUUCCAUUCUCAAUCUAUACUAUAGUGUAUUCCCUUCACCUAAGCUUAUUUACUUGUUCUGUUGACUAAGCUUAUUUACUUGUUCUGUUGACAUUGAAAGCCCUAGUGCUAACGCCGUUGCUAUACCUGAUUACUUGCUCUGCUCUUGCAUGUUCUGUUUACAUUGAACUUAGUGCGUUAUCUGUUUCGUAACUCGUUAACAUCGGUUCGGUUGUUUUUCUUGCUUAGUAGUUUGUUGAAUAUCAUUUCAUUGAAUCUCUCUCCUCUCC
rnacentral:lncRNA from 1 species